CACGGUGAGUAACACGUAUCCAACCUGCCGUCUACUCUUGGACAGCCUUCUGAAAGGAAGAUUAAUACAAGAUGGCAUCAUGAGUUCACAUGUUCACAUGAUUAAAGGUAUUCCGGUAGACGAUGGGGAUGCGUUCCAUUAGAUAGUAGGCGGGGUAACGGCCCACCUAGUCUUCGAUGGAUAGGGGUUCUGAGAGGAAGGUCCCCCACAUUGGAACUGAGACACGGUCCAA
rnacentral:rRNA from 1 species